UACGUAGGGGGCAAGCGUUUGUCCGGAUUUAUUGGGCGUAAAGAGCGUGUAGGCGGCUAGAUAGGUCCGUUGUGAAAACUGGAGGCUCAACCUCCAGCUGUCGAUGGAAACCAUCUAGCUAGAGUCCGGAAGAGGAGAGUGGAAUUCCUGGUGUAGCGGUGAAAUGCGCAGAUAUCAGGAGGAACACCGGUGGCGAAGGCGGCAUCCUGGACCGGUAUUGACGCUGAGGCGCGAAAGCCAGGGGAGCAAACGGG
rnacentral:rRNA from 1 species